CAAGCCUGGGAUUUUUUAUUAUUUAGGAUUUUGCUUCAGCUGCCUUAGUAGAGAGAUGUGAAGUAUUAAUGGAAAUGGGUUAGUGAUAAUUAAAGUUCGUUUCUCCUUCAUGUGGAUGUCUAGGUGGCUGUGUUGUCCACAAUCAUCAGGAAUCCAGACUCCUUCUGCACUGUCGCUUUGCCAUUCUUAAACUGCGUCACCCAUUUUGUGGUUCAAGGUGGCUGCUCCAGCUCCUACCAUCACAUCUGUAUUCCAGCCUGUGGGAAGAGAGAAUAGGGAGGAAAUUGUACUUAAAUAGUAGCUGCGAGACAAUGUGAUCAAAGCCACGGAAGAUGCAGGUCCACAGUACACUGGGCUCUGUCGGGCUUGAGCCUCCUUGAUCUGGGCUCCAUUCAGCCCUCCUCUCUUUCCUGCUCGUCUCUGCUGUGUCAAAGGGCUGACCCCUGCAGGCUGCAUCUCCCAGGUUCCCCUGUCGGUUCCCUGACUUCCAUGUGGAUUCAGGCAAUGGGAAACACCUGGGAGACUAGUAGGCAGGAGAAAGGGAGAAACUGAGGCAUUCCUUCCCAUCUGUUUCUGUCUCACGCAGUGACUCCCAGGACGCCUGUGUCAGGCUCCAGCUCCCACCGGCCCACGGGCUGUAUGGCGCCACCCAGUCUUCGGGUGGCGGUGGCUUCUUGCUGUGAUUAAUGUCUGGGUUGCUUCACCUGCCCCGGUUUUAGCUCCUCCAUCACCUGGGAUCAAUUCCUUGUAUUAAAAUCCCCCAGUUGUGGUAAAGGGGUCAGACCCUGGGCCGUACAGGAGGGUCUCCAUCAAGGUGAGAAUUCAUAGAGGAAGCGAUGUUUGUGCUGGAUCUUCAAGGUUUGCUGACGAUUUUCAUUAAUUCCGAUUUGGUUUUUCCGGCCUCUGGGCGUAGAGGACCCAAGAGGAGAAACAGUCUGGGGCUCAGACCCCUCAGCACGGGAUUAGUGGGACCAGGGAUGUGGUUUCAGUUGCUUUUCCUGCAGGGUUUCUCCACCGAGACGGGAUGGGCGUUUUGGACCAGAUGGCGCUUAGCUGGUGCUGUCUUGUGAAAUACAGGAUGUUUAGCUGCUCGCUUGGCCUCCGACCACUCGCUGCCCCAGACACCCCGCCCUGCCUGAGUUAUGGUGACCAGAAAGCCUGCGGACAUUGCCAGAUGCCCCUUGGUAGGUGGGGUGGUGGCUGGGGGUGAAUCACUCCAGUUCACAACACCUGUUCCCUGCUGAUGGCUCCGCAUCCUCGCAUGAUACUGGAAAACCUUUUCAUGCUGAAGGUCAGAGGUCACUGCCUUCCAGAAGAGGCAGCUGCCACCGCGGCUCCCCUUCACCUCCUCCUCUCCCGCUGCGAGCGCCCUCGUUCCCCCUGAACACUGUCUGCUGGAGGACAGCGAUCCCUUUGUCUGUGAGGGAGUGGCAGGGCCAGACCUUUGUUCUCUCGCCAGGAAGCGGUGAGGCGGGAGCUGGGGCGUCAUCGACGGGUUACAGUGUUACAGUUGUGCUCUGGCUUCUGAGAUGCAAGUCGCAGAGCUCUGAAGGGUGUUUAAUUUCAUCCUUCAUGGUCAACCUUUCCUUCGUAAGACGACCUUUCUGCUCCCCACCCAGACGCACACCUGGCCCGGGCUCCCAGGCCGUCAGGCAGCAAGGGAGAACCCCACCCGCUUCUGAGAACAAACAGCGCUUCUGCCGCCAUCACCUUCCCAUCGAGGGCCGCCCCGCGAGGCAGACCUUUCCUGGGCGCAUCCGCCUGUUCGGUUCAUCUGCUCAGUGCGCCCCGCAGGGCACAGAUGGCUUUUCUUACCUCAUAGCUGAAGAAACAACUUGCCUGGAGAAGUACAGCCGGUGUGGGGACAGCACCAGAACGUCUCCUGCCGUCAAAGAGAACAGCCACACCUUUCCAGGUUCGCAGCUCUGAUGUUUUACACACAUCAUCCGUGUCAUGCUUGCAGCUUCAGUGCCACGGGACUUCAGAGGGGCUGUGAGCCGUCUGGCGUGGUUGACGGAAGCUCCCUAAGGAAUCAGGGGGCGAGCUGGUCCCCGAGGGUGAGGUGGAUUUGAGGGCUGUAGCUGGUGUUAUUUCUGGAGGUGGUAAAGGAGGGUUCAUUUUAGGCAGGAAACAUGAGCAAAGCCGCAGAGUCAGAAGCAAGAGGCGGUGAGGGAACAGGACACGUGCCAGGAGCAGAGGACACCUGGCGGGAGGGAGUGUGUGGGGCGGCCGUGUGUGGGGGACCAGGUGAUGCAGGGCCUAGCGGUCCAGACGGGGCGUGGGGUGUUAGGAGGCAGGCAGUGAGAGGGGUUGGAAGUCUGUAAGCAGCCACUGCCCAUCCGAGGUGCCACCUCCCCAGAAAAGCCUCAUCCAGCCCCCUGAUGCUCGUUCCUGGGAGUCGCUCCUGCGCCCUGGGGCUUCCCCCAGCACGGCCUUGCAGGAACACGGGCUAAUCCAGGACCCAGCCCUGACCCCGCCAUCCUGGUGUCCCCACAGCCUGGCCCGUGGGAAGCCCUCAGGGACUGGACUGGGCGUUGAGUAAAGGGACCCCGACGGAGAGCCACGUGCCCCUUGGACUCCUCGGCACCACCUGAAGGUAGGUGGGGAACCAGAAGUUCCACUGUCUGUCUUGGAGCAGCCGUGCCAAACUGAUGCCUAAUGAUGACAAUGCUGGAGUUUUAAAUCAUCAAAAAUGAGCAAGAGUUUUAAAUCAUCAAAAAUGAAAAUAUCCAUUAGUUGGGAAAUUAUUACAUCUACACUGAGAAAACUAGUGCACCAGUUAAAAGAAUGAAUUAACUUUAUAAAUACUGACAUAGAAAA